rnacentral:lncRNA from 1 species
CGCCUGGCCUAUUUAUUAUUAUUAUUAUUUGUUUAUUUUUUUGAGACAGAGUCUCGCGCUGUCACCCAGGCUGGAGUGCAGUGGGGCGAUCUCAGCUAACUGCAACCUCCGCCUCCCAGGUUCAAGUGAUUCUCCCGCCUCAGCCUCCCGAGUAGCUGGGACUACAGGCAUAAGCCAUCACACCCAGCUAACUGUUGUAUUUUUUGUUUGUUUGUUUUGUUUUUUUGAGACGGAGUCUCGCUCUGUUGCCCAGGCUGGAGUGCAGUGGCACAAUCUCGGCUCACUGCAACCUCCGCCUCCCAGGUUCACGCCAUUCUCCUGCCUCAGCCUCCCAAGUAGCUGGAACUAUAGGCGCCCGCCACCAUGCCCAGAUAACUUUUUAUAUUUUUAGUAGAGACGGGGUUUCACUGUGUUAGCUAGGCUGGUCUUGAACUCCUGAACUCAGAUAAUCUGCCUGCCUUGGCCUCCCAAAGUGCUGGGAUUACAGGCGUGAGCCACCAUGCCGGGCCUGGCAUAUUUAUGUUUUUUUGAGACAAGGUCUGGCUCUGUCACCCAGGCUGUAGUGCAGAGACACAAUCACGGCUUGGCUCACUGCAGCCUUGACCUUCUGGGCUCAAGUGCUCUCUCCGCCUCAGUCUCCUCCAGUAGCUGGGACUACACAUGUGCACCAUCAUACCCGGCCCUUUUUUUUUUUUUUUUAAAUAGAGAUGGUGUGCCACUAUGUUGCCUAGGUUGGUCUCAAACUCCUAGGCUCAAGCUACCCUCCUGCCUCAGCCUCCCAAAGUGCUGGAAUUACAGGCCUGAGCCACUGUGCCUGGCCGAUAAUUGGCAGUUUCUUAAGGGGCAGUUGCAAUGUAGAAUGUGAAACCAUAUCAGUGACCUUUUUGUACUGUUAAACUAAAAUCCGUUGUUUUGGCCAAGUGUGGUGGCUCACGCCUGUAAUCCCAGCACUUUGUGACGCCAAGGUGGGUGGAUCACCUGAGGUCAGGAGUUCGAGACCAGCCUGGCCAACAUGGUGAAACCCUCCCGUCUCUACUAAAACUACAAAAAUUAGUCAGGUGUGGUGGUGGCACACGCCUGUAAUCCCAGCCACUCGGGAGGCUGAGGCAGGGGAAUCACUUGAACCUGCGAGGCGAAGGUUGCAGUUAGCCGAGAUUGCACCACUGCACUCCAGCUUGGGUGACAGAGCAAGACUCUGUCUCAAAAAAAAAAAAAAAAUCCGUUUUUCUGAACUGCACCUGAUUGGAUCUUUUACCCAUGCAUAAUUUUGUAACACCGUGCAUUCGUCAUAUGGAAAAUAAUUGAUUCACUGAGCUAUGCAAAUCUUCCAAAUAUUAAUGUUUCAUUAUACAUUAUUUUAAAAAUCACAAUAGGUUUCAACAGUAAAGUCUUUGUUUUUCUUCAUAGUAUUAUACUGGAGAACAGUAAAGUCUUUAAGUUUUAAAUUUUGGGAAGCUGUGAAGCUCAUGUAGCAAAUACAAGUGUUCCAAAAUUCGAUUUUUCACUUGAAAGCUUGAAUUAUAUCAUUGGCAACAAACACUGUCAGAUUUUUCCCUGAAGUGACAGACUCACUUUGUUCCUUUUUAGAAAAGUUCUGCCAGCUACCUAAAUCUGAUAACCACAGUUUGUCGGCCAUUCUUUUGAGUAAACGUGGCAUUCCAUAAAAGAGCAGCUAGUUCAGCUCACAACUCAAAGAAUGGCCUAAGUUAUUUCCUCCAGAAAACCAUCAUACUUUGGUAUGCAAAAUGUCUUAUGCAUACUUCCCACUUUAUCAGACAGAAUGUUGAAAAGCCUUUUCCUUAAGGAUUAAGGUUUAAUUAAAUUAAUACAUUUAGGCUGGGCGUGGUGGCUCACGCCUGUAAUCCCAGCACUUUGGGAGCCUGAGGCAGGCAGAUCAUGAGGUCAGGAGUUCAAGACCAGUCUGGCCAACAUGGUGAAACCCUGUCUCUACUAAAAAUACAAAAAUUAGCUGGGCAUGAUGGCAUGUGCCUGUAAUCCCAGCUUCUCGGGAGGCUGAGGCAGGAGAAUUGCUUGAACCGGGACACAGGAGGUGGAGGUUGCAGUGAGCCGAGAUCACGCCACUACACUCCAGCCUGGGCUACAGACCGAGACUCCGUCUCAAAAAAAAAAAAAAAUUUUUUUUUUUUACUUCAUCAAGGACAUUUUUUUUGAGUCUUGCUCUGUUGCCCAGGCUGGAGUGCAGUGGCGUGAUCUUGGCUCACUGCAACCUCCGCAUCACAGGUUCAAGCAAUUCUGGUGCCUCAGCCUCCCAAGUAGCUGGGAAUUACAGGUGUGCACCACCAUCCCCAGCUAAGGAAAAUAAUGUCUUGGUAUUUUUAUGAAAAUAAUUUUGACCUAUGGACCCCUGAAAAGGUCUUAGGGAACCCUAGGGGUCUGAGGACCACAUUUGAAGAGCUGCUGGUUUAAUAGGUUUUAAAGCCUCUCCCCAGAUGGCUCCCAAGGUAUCACUAGUGAGAAGUAUGUGAUUGGUCCCAGUUCCUGAGGACAUGACAAGGAAAUGGUAACAGGAGUAAGCAGCUGUCCUGGGCUCCUAGCUGGAGUUCAAAGUCUAGACUGCCACUUGUCGGGGAGGUUAUAGAAGGGAUUUGAUCUCCAAGGUCCUCAACUGAUACUAUGACAUUGAAUCUGGGAUUAGGGAGCCCCCACAGUAUGUACUGGAGUUGCCAGUCCUCUGCGUCAGAGAAGUGAUAAUACAUCUCAAUUUUCCAGUGCUUAGCACAAGCAUGGCUUAGUAAAUAUUGAAUGAAUGAAUCACAGGUGAUAGGAGUGAUGGUAGGAGGUUGGCACCAUCCCUAAUGGGCUGUCCUAGAGUUCCAUCUACUUUCUUAGAGAAGGGCUCUCACUCCGUCACCCAGGCUGGUGCACAGUGGCACCAUCAUAGCUCACUGCAGCCUUGAACUCCUGGUCUCAAGCAGUCCUCCUGCCUCAGCCUUUUAAGUAGCUGGGAUUAGAGGCUCGAACCACCGUUACCAGCUACAUUCCAUCUACUUCAAGCUUUCCCUAAUGUGGUGGGAGUAGAAGGUGUUAGUAGCAGAUGGGUGGCGUUUGUGUUCUACUUGAGGAAAUAAUGUACUGGGCGGUAGGGCUGACUAAAGAAUCACGCAUGAAAAUAGUUGCCAACCUAAGACGACUGUCAGAGAGUCCAUGCAUUAUGGACAGAGUGGCUGGAUGGGGACGUGGAAGCACACAGCAUCCACCUCUCUGACUGCCUCUUUCCACUGACCCACCAGAUAAGCAGGGUGGCUGGAACAGGGCUGCUAGCACCUUCCUGGCCACUAGGGGAGCUCUGCCCCCUCUAACAAUAAAUUCUCACACCUGGGUCAAGCUCUUCACUUUUAGCGCUACCCUAGGCAGGAGUGUCCCAACCCAAUCAAGAGCGGUGCCUACCCGAGGCAGCCUCAAGUUGGGAUUUUUCUGCUUGCUAAUGGCUUCAAUCAGUUUUGUGGCCAUAGUUCUCUUAGGCUCAGACACUUACAGGCAUAUUAUUUUUAGCAAAGCUUCUUUUGAAAAUUUGAAUUUGGUCAAGGACUGGAUUUG